rnacentral:rRNA from 1 species
UCAGGACGAACUCUGGCGGCGUGCCUAAUACAUGCAAGUCGAGCGAACAGAAGGGAGCUUGCUCCCGGAUGUUAGCGGCGGACGGGUGAGUAACACGUGGGUAACCUGCCUGUAAGACUGGGAUAACUCCGGGAAACCGGAGCUAAUACCGGAUAGUUCCUUGAACCGCAUGGUUCAAGGAUGAAAGACGGUUUCGGCUGUCACUUACAGAUGGACCCGCGGCGCAUUAGCUAGUUGGUGGGGUAAUGGCUCACCAAGGCGACGAUGCGUAGCCGACCUGAGAGGGUGAUCGGCCACACUGGGACUGAGACACGGCCCAGACUCCUACGGGAGGCAGCAGUAGGGAAUCUUCCGCAAUGGACGAAAGUCUGACGGAGCAACGCCGCGUGAGUGAUGAAGGUUUUCGGAUCGUAAAGCUCUGUUGUUAGGGAAGAACAAGUGCGAGAGUAACUGCUCGCACCUUGACGGUACCUAACCAGAAAGCCACGGCUAACUACGUGCCAGCAGCCGCGGUAAUACGUAGGUGGCAAGCGUUGUCCGGAAUUAUUGGGCGUAAAGGGCUCGCAGGCGGUUUCUUAAGUCUGAUGUGAAAGCCCCCGGCUCAACCGGGGAGGGUCAUUGGAAACUGGGAAACUUGAGUGCAGAAGAGGAGAGUGGAAUUCCACGUGUAGCGGUGAAAUGCGUAGAGAUGUGGAGGAACACCAGUGGCGAAGGCGACUCUCUGGUCUGUAACUGACGCUGAGGAGCGAAAGCGUGGGGAGCGAACAGGAUUAGAUACCCUGGUAGUCCACGCCGUAAACGAUGAGUGCUAAGUGUUAGGGGGUUUCCGCCCCUUAGUGCUGCAGCUAACGCAU